rnacentral:misc_RNA from 1 species
UGUAUUUAACUUUUAUGGAAAAUAUCAGAAAUCCGGUCCUCGCAGUCAUGUUAUCAUAUAGGCCAAAACAAACUAAAAGACUGGGAAUGAUUGUACACCCUAAAAUAUCAAAGGCCAAUCCUGACUCCUGAGCAAACAAGAGAGCCAUUCAAAAAUCUCAAAACUACGCUUUGCACUGCUAUUGAAAGUUAAAUACAGCUCAAGGAAAAAGGUGUUCAUCCAGCCUACGCAUUUAACAGAAGCAGGUACAAAAAGCCUACCAUCCAUAACAGCUCAUAUUUUCAGGAUAACAGAAUCACAGGUAAUUUGAUUCCUGCAAAGCUUGUAUCAUUAAUGAAGCUGCAGAACCUUCUGCGUCUUUUAUUCUUGUUUUUUCAUCUCCCAUCAUGUAGAGCACACCAUCUACAGUUGCAAUCUGAACUGAGCAUAUAAAUUUCUUCUCAUGUGCAGGGCCCAUUUCUUUCUCAAUGUUGUAACUUGGUUUCUGCCAUUUUUUCUUGCCACAGAGUUCAUGUAACUUCUGUUUUGCUCCUUCAAUCUCAAAUGACCCAUUGAUGCUAUCCAGGAUAUCAGAAAGACUGCCAUUAGAAGGCAUCGAAUGUGAUAAUUUGUGCAGAGCUCCCUUGGCAGCAUUAAGCUUUGCAAUUUCUUUUUGCUCAGACGAACCAGUGGCAACAAACUCUCCAUCAACAUAUACACUAGCAAUAUUUUUUGUCCCAUUUUUCCAGUGUACGAUAUCAACUUCCUUCCCCUGCUUUUGGCACAGCUCAAACAACAUUGUCACUGGUUGCGGUUGUUGCUGCAAGUCUUGAAGCGUAACAAUGGGCUCUAAAAGUCCCCUAAAUAUCACCCAAAGCCUCUGAAGAUCAAAAUCGAGGUCAACAUAGACAGCAGCAGCCACAGACUCCACAAUAUCAGCAAGAAUUUUAGGUGCCUUCACAGAGCCACCAUAAGCAACUGCAUCAUCUUCCUGACUCACAGCAUCAGUAAACUCCCUAACCUUAUCAUCAAGAGAAGAAGCGUUAUGCCUCACAAAGCGAUAAAGUCCAUGCCUGAUCGCCACUCGCGCGAGCUUCUCCGUGCUGAUAUUGGCUGCACGCAGCAGAGAUAACUGGCCGGGAUCGAGCUGAGGAUAAGCUAGAAAAACAUGGUUACUCAAAGCCAGUCCUAAAGCGGCGUCACCGAUAAACUCGAGUCGCUGGUAAGAGGCCGAGUCCGCAUAAGAGGAGUGCGUUAAAGCUUCCUCGAGAAGGCGCUUGUUUUUGAAACUAUAAUUCAAGAUUCUUUCGACGGCGAGGACCGAAGCUUCCAUUUCGGUUGAGGGCGGCAAUGGUGGAGCUUCGGUGGUGGUGGUGGUGGUGGUGAUGGUAUCCGAUGACGACAUGAAGAAUCUUGAAGAACCAGGCGUAGGAGGGAGAAAAGGGUCCAUUGAAAGGGAAGAGCGAAGAAUGGAAGUGAAAGGGAAAGACUUUGGACCUUGGGGUUGGAGGUGGAAUCACGCGCUAGAACAGAUUGCAAUAAAUCUAAUCGUGAGAUGGACACGCACGGCCACGACCACAUCUAGGCGAGAGGAGAAAGAAUGUCAGUUGAAAAAAGUUUAGC